UGGGGAAUAUUGGACAAUGGGCGAAAGCCUGAUCCAGCCAUGCCGCGUGAGUGACGAAGGCCUUAGGGUUGUAAAACUCUUUCGUCGGGGACGAUAAUGACGGUACCCGAAGAAGAAGCUCCGGCUAACUUCGUGCCAGCAGCCGCGGUAAUACGAAGGGAGCUAGCGUUGUUCGGAAUCACUGGGCGUAAAGCGCACGUAGGCGGAUAGUUAAGUCAGGGGUGAAAUCCUGGGGCUCAACCCCAGAACUGCCUUUGAUACUGGCUGUCUCGAGGUCGAGAGAGGUUGGUGGAAUUCCUAGUGUAGAGGUGAAAUUCGUAGAUAUUAGGAAGAACACCAGUGGCGAAGGCGGCCAACUGGCUCGAUACUGACGCUGAGGUGCGAAAGCGUGGGGAGCAAACAGGAUUAGAUACCCUAGUAGUCCCUGAGCGGGCUGGCAAGGCGCAU
rnacentral:rRNA from 1 species